GGGCUGGUAGCUCAGUGGAAGAACGGCUGUCUGAAACACGGUCGGUCUCGGGUUCAAAUCCCGACCAGUCCACAA
rnacentral:tRNA from 1 species